CCUACGGGGGGCUGCAGUGGGGAAUAUUGGACAAUGGGGGCAACCCUGAUCCAGCCAUGCCGCGUGUGUGAAGAAGGCCCUCGGGUUGUAAAGCACUUUCAGUGAGGAAGAACGCCUGGUGGUUAAUACCCAUCAGGAAAGACAUCACUCACAGAAGAAGCACCGGCUAACUCCGUGCCAGCAGCCGCGGUAAUACGGAGGGUGCGAGCGUUAAUCGGAAUUACUGGGCGUAAAGCGCGCGUAGGUGGCUUGAUAAGCCGGUUGUGAAAGCCCCGGACUCAACCUGGGAACGGCAUCCGGAACUGUCAAGCUAGAGUGCAGGAGAGGAAGGUAGAAUUCCCGGUGUAGCGGUGAAAUGCGUAGAGAUCGGGAGGAAUACCAGUGGCGAAGGCGGCCUUCUGGACUGACACUGACACUGAGGUGCGAAAGCGUGGGUAGCAAACAGGAUUAGAUACCCUAGUAGUC
rnacentral:rRNA from 1 species